UACGUAGGGGGCAAGCGUUGUCCGGAAUCAUUGGGCGUAAAGAGCGUGUAGGCGGCCCGGUAAGUCCGCUGUGAAAGUCCAGGGCUCAACCCUGGGAUGCCGGUGGAUACUGUCGGGCUCGAGUCCGGAAGAGGAGUGUGGAAUUCCUGGUGUAGCGGUGAAAUGCGCAGAUAUCAUGAGGAAGACCAGUGGCGAAGGCGGGUCUCUGGACAGUUCCUGACACUGAGACACGAAGGCCAGGGGAGCAAACGGG
rnacentral:rRNA from 1 species